UACGAACGCUGGCGGCGUGCUUAACACAUGCAAGUCGAACGGAAAGGCCCUGCUUUUGUGGGGUGCUCGAGUGGCGAACGGGUGAGUAACACGUGAGUAACCUGCCCUUGACUUUGGGAUAACUUCAGGAAACUGGGGCUAAUACCGGAUAGGAGCUCCUGCUGCAUGGUGGGGGUUGGAAAGUUUCGGCGGUUGGGGAUGGACUCGCGGCUUAUCAGCUUGUUGGUGGGGUAGUGGCUUACCAAGGCUUUGACGGGUAGCCGGCCUGAGAGGGUGACCGGCCACAUUGGGACUGAGAUACGGCCCAGACUCCUACGGGAGGCAGCAGUGGGGAAUAUUGCACAAUGGGCGGAAGCCUGAUGAAGAAACGCCGCGUGCGGGAUGACGGCCUUCGGGUUGUAAACCGCUUUCGCCUGUGACGAAGCGUGAGUGACGGUAAUGGGUAAAGAAGCACCGGCUAACUACGUG
rnacentral:rRNA from 1 species